AUUGAACGCUGGCGGCAGGCCUAACACAUGCAGGUCGAGCGGAUGAAGGGAGCUUGCUCCUGGAUUCAGCGGCGGACGGGUGAGUAAUGCCUAGGAAUCUGCCUGGUAGUGGGGGAUAACGUCCGGAAACGGGCGCUAAUACCGCAUACGUCCUGAGGGAGAAAGUGGGGGAUCUUCGGACCUCACGCUAUCAGAUGAGCCUAGGUCGGAUUAGCUAGUUGGUGGGGUAAAGGCCUACCAAGGCGACGAUCCGUAACUGGUCUGAGAGGAUGAUCAGUCACACUGGAACUGAGACGCGGUCCAGACUCCUACGGGAGGCAGCAGUGGGGAAUAUUGGACAAUGGGCGAAAGCCUGAUCCAGCCAUGCCGCGUGUGUGAAGAAGGUCUUCGGAUUGUAAAGCACUUUAAGUUGGGAGGAAGGGCAGUAAGUUAAUACCUUGCUGUUUUGACGUUACCAACAGAAUAAGCACCGGCUAACUUCGUG
rnacentral:rRNA from 1 species